ensembl:snRNA U1 U1 spliceosomal RNA
ACACUUAAAUUGCAGGGGAGAUACCAUGGUUAUGAAGGUGAUUUUCUUGGGAUGAAGCUCAUCUGUUGCACUCUGGGUGUUCUGUCCCCUGCGAUUUCCUCAAAUGUGGAAACCUUGACUACAUAAUUUGUGGUAAUGGGGAAAUAUGCUCAUACUCUCCCUC